GACGAACGCUGGCGGCGUGCUUAACACAUGCAAGUCGAACGGAAAGGCCUGCUUUCCCUUGUGGAUUGCGGGUACUCGAGUGGCGAACGGGUGAGUAACACGUGAGUGAUGUGCCCCCAACUUGGGUAUAAGCCAGGGAAACUGGGUCUAAUUUCCGAUAGGACUGCAGGGUGGUGCCUGUGGUCGCAAACGGUUAUAUAGCGGUGGGGGAUGAGCUCGCGGCCUAUCAGCUGGUUGGUGGCGUAAUGGCCUACCAAGGCGGCGACGGCUAGCCGGCCUGAGGGGGUGGAGCGGGACAUUGAGAGUGAGCUGCGGCCCAGAGACCGAGGGAAGGCAGCGGUGGGGAAUAGUGGACGAUGGGGGGAAGACUGAUGAAGCGAGGCAGCGUGGAGGAUGACGGCCUUCGGGUUGUAAACUCCUUUCGAGCGCGAGGAAGCCAACUGGUUGGAAGGGUGGUGACGGUAGUGGUAGAAGAAGCACCGGCUAACUACGUG
rnacentral:rRNA from 1 species